rnacentral:lncRNA from 1 species
AUGAGGAACAGCUCUGCCGGUACCAAAGUGCCCUGCAGGAGGUGCUCUAGGCAAGCAGCGGAAGCUCCCUGCAGCCCAGAAAAGGCCUACGGAGGAGUAGGCUGUCGCCUGCAGCCCACAGACAUCACGUGGAGCAGAUCUCCUAGUGCAGCCGUGGACGAGCCCCUACAGGAGCAGCCUCGGCUGGAACUGCACCCCGUGUGGAGGAGCCCUGGCAGGGCAAGAGGGCUGGGGGAACUGCUGCUUGUGGAGCAGUGUGCUCCUGAAGGUGGGCUUUGUGAAAGGGGAGCCAUGUCAGAGCACUGCUUGAUGAGCUGCGCCCUUGGGAAGCUGACACAGGAAAGGGAGAGGAGAAAGUUCUAUUUGGACUUGAGAUUGUAGUGGGAGUUUUAAUGAAGUGGAUGCGGAAGGGUGAAUUCCUGUCGUGUUCUUUUGGACACACUUGCUGAAAAGUGAGGAAGGAGAAUCACAGAUGAUUGAGGUUCUGGUUCCAGGAAAUGAACAACAUGGUGUGCUGCAUUUCGUAUAUCUAUGAUUUUGUGAGGAGGAGAGACAAGAAAUGUAGAACUGGGUGCUGUUGGUGAGCUCUGCACUGAGUUAUCUGAUACUAAUCAUUUCACUCUGAAUAGCCUCAGUUUACAUUUCUGUAAUUGAAAGAUCUAGCUGGUGAUCUGCUGGGGUAGGAGAUACAAAAUAAUUGGAAAGAAUGAAAAGAAAUUGCACUGUUAUUUGCAGUCCACGUUCUUGGAAAUGAUCAUUUAUUCUGCACACCAUAUGUACACCUCACAUAAUCUAGUCUUUUCUGUACCUGUAUUCUGUAUCCCACUUUUAAGCCUUCCCCAAUCCUUUUAUCUCUGAGUGUGGCAGCCUGUGAUAAGAGACUCUUCCACAUUCAGGAAAUAAGAAUAGCAGC